rnacentral:rRNA from 1 species
CCUACGUGAGGCAGCAGUGAGGAAUAUUGGUCAAUGGACGAGAGUCUGAACCAGCCAAGUAGCGUGAAGGAUGACUGCCCUAUGGGUUGUAAACUUCUUUUAUAUGGGAAUAAACUGUUCCACGUGUGGGUUUUUGUAUGUACUUUAUGAAUAAGGAUCGGCUAACUCCGUGCCAGCAGCCGCGGUAAUACGGAGGAUCCGAGCGUUAUCCGGAUUUAUUGGGUUUAAAGGGAGCGUAGAUGGAUUGUUAAGUCAGUUGUGAAAGUUUGCGGCUCAACCGUAAAAUUGCAGUUGAUACUGGCAGUAUUGAGGACAGUUGAGGUAGGCGGAAUUCGUGGUGUAGCGGUGAAA